AGAAUAGAAUGAAUGAAGACCCCUCUCAUAAAUUUAUUAUAAAAAUCCCCGAAAUUAAAAUUUUUGUGAAAAUUCUAAAAUAUGGCACUUAGACGAUAAGACCCUAUGAAGCUUAACCAGGGAAUAGGCCAGGAUUUAAAAUUAGGCUUCCCUGCUGGUUUAAUUGGGGCAAUAUGUAAUAGUGAUAUUAUACCAAGGGUCUAGCUUAUUGAACCUAAAGGAGUAAAAUCAGCUACUCUAGGGAUAACAGCACCAUAGUUAAAAAAGUUCUUAUUAGAAUAACUGU
rnacentral:rRNA from 1 species